AACAUAAAUGGGGGUGGAUCCAGAGAUUAGUCAGACUGUGCAGGUCUCUGUGAGCCAUGUAAGGAAUUUAGAUUUACACUCAGAGCAACAAUGUACUUGAUUGAAUUUAUGAGCAAGGUCAUUGUUGUCACUCCAUCAAGAAUGUAUUGGUCAAGAAUGGGAACAGAGAGACCAGAGUUCUGAUUUGUGAACUGCAUAUUUGUCAGGUCAGUAAUGUCAUUACUGACUGCCGAAUUCACCACCAUCAUAGCUCCACCCUGGAUUUUUCAAUCAUUGCCUACCAAUUCCACAGCCACCUUACACUCUAUGAGCUAGAAUUUAUUCAUAGCUUCAAAUAAAGAUGGGGAAUGACAAGGGAUCAGGUAUUAUGGAGCAAGAAACUGAAAUUUUAAAAGAUUCAAAAUGUCAAAAAAAAAGUAGCAAAAUCAUGCAGCAUGAUGGAGUCAACACUAAGGAUAAAUGAAACCAAAGAAUUAAAGAACUGAAAGAAAUAACUCAAAAUGUAGACAAGCUCUAUCAGUCAUCUCAAUGUCUCUGUCCAGUGUCUGACAUUCUAAGUAUCAAGGUGACCUGAAC